GACGUUGCCAGCUGAGUGGAAAGUGGAAACCCUGAAACUUUGAUGUCUCAGCCAUUAUUAUACACAAAGUUACCACAUCCUUUCUGAACAUCUUUAUUCAAAAAGCUGACAUAAAAUGGUUUGCUAAGCUAUUAAUUGAAGCCUACUAACCGACACUUUCAGAAGACUUCGUUCCAGUUUUUUCAGUUUCCCUGUAGGUAAUCCAGACAGGCUGGGUGCUGGAGAGGGCUCUGGACUCCUAACUUCAAUUCUCGUCUGUGCAGUCAACACUCAGAAGCAUCACUUCAGCACUGAUUCCAUGAUCUGGAACAUUUUGAAAUCCUACCAGAUGGGGCAGAAGUCAUUGAGCAGUGGCAGCUU